GGGUUGUGAGGUUAAGCGACUAAGCGUACACGGUGGAUGCCCUGGCAGUCAGAGGCGAUGAAGGACGUGCUAAUCUGCGAUAAGCGUCGGUAAGGUGAUAUGAACCGUUAUAACCGGCGAUUUCCGAAUGGGGAAACCCAGUGUGAUUCGUCACACUAUCAUUAACUGAAUCCAUAGGUUAAUGAGGCGAACCGGGGGAACUGAAACAUCUAAGUACCCCGAGGAAAAGAAAUCAACCGAGAUUCCCCCAGUAGCGGCGAGCGAACGGGGAGCAGCCCAGAGCCUGAAUCAGUGUGUGUGUUAGUGGAAGCGUCUGGAAAGGCGUGCGAUACAGGGUGACAGCCCCGUACACAAAAAUGCACAUACUGUGAGCUCGAUGAGUAGGGCGGGACACGUGGUAUCCUGUCUGAAUAUGGGGGGACCAUCCUCCAAGGCUAAAUACUCCUGACUGACCGAUAGUGAACCAGUACCGUGAGGGAAAGGCGAAAAGAACCCCGGCGAGGGGAGUGAAAAAGAACCUGAAACCGUGUACGUACAAGCAGUGGGAGCACAGAGCAAUCUGUGUGACUGCGUACCUUUUGUAUAAUGGGUCAGCGACUUAUAUUCUGUAGCAAGGUUAACCGAAUAGGGGAGCCGAAGGGAAACCGAGUCUUAACUGGGCGUUAAGUUGCAGGGUAUAGACCCGAAACCCGGUGAUCUAGCCAUGGGCAGGUUGAAGGUUGGGUAACACUAACUGGAGGACCGAACCGACUAAUGUUGAAAAAUUAGCGGAUGACUUGUGGCUGGGGGUGAAAGGCCAAUCAAACCGGGAGAUAGCUGGUUCUCCCCGAAAGCUAUUUAGGUAGCGCCUCGUGAAUUCAUCUCCGGGGGUAGAGCACUGUUUCGGCAAGGGGGUCAUCCCGACUUACCAACCCGAUGCAAACUGCGAAUACCGGAGAAUGUUAUCACGGGAGACACACGGCGGGUGCUAACGUCCGUCGUGAAGAGGGAAACAACCCAGACCGCCAGCUAAGGUCCCAAAGUCAUGGUUAAGUGGGAAACGAUGUGGGAAGGCCCAGACAGCCAGGAUGUUGGCUUAGAAGCAGCCAUCAUUUAAAGAAAGCGUAAUAGCUCACUGGUCGAGUCGGCCUGCGCGGAAGAUGUAACGGGGCUAAACCAUGCACCGAAGCUGCGGCAGCGACGCUUAUGCGUUGUUGGGUAGGGGAGCGUUCUGUAAGCCUGCGAAGGUGUGCUGUGAGGCAUGCUGGAGGUAUCAGAAGUGCGAAUGCUGACAUAAGUAACGAUAAAGCGGGUGAAAAGCCCGCUCGCCGGAAGACCAAGGGUUCCUGUCCAACGUUAAUCGGGGCAGGGUGAGUCGACCCCUAAGGCGAGGCCGAAAGGCGUAGUCGAUGGGAAACAGGUUAAUAUUCCUGUACUUGGUGUUACUGCGAAGGGGGGACGGAGAAGGCUAUGUUGGCCGGGCGACGGUUGUCCCGGUUUAAGCGUGUAGGCUGGUUUUCCAGGCAAAUCCGGAAAAUCAAGGCUGAGGCGUGAUGACGAGGCACUACGGUGCUGAAGCAACAAAUGCCCUGCUUCCAGGAAAAGCCUCUAAGCAUCAGGUAACAUCAAAUCGUACCCCAAACCGACACAGGUGGUCAGGUAGAGAAUACCAAGGCGCUUGAGAGAACUCGGGUGAAGGAACUAGGCAAAAUGGUGCCGUAACUUCGGGAGAAGGCACGCUGAUAUGUAGGUGAAGUCCCUCGCGGAUGGAGCUGAAAUCAGUCGAAGAUACCAGCUGGCUGCAACUGUUUAUUAAAAACACAGCACUGUGCAAACACGAAAGUGGACGUAUACGGUGUGACGCCUGCCCGGUGCCGGAAGGUUAAUUGAUGGGGUCAGCGCAAGCGAAGCUCUUGAUCGAAGCCCCGGUAAACGGCGGCCGUAACUAUAACGGUCCUAAGGUAGCGAAAUUCCUUGUCGGGUAAGUUCCGACCUGCACGAAUGGCGUAAUGAUGGCCAGGCUGUCUCCACCCGAGACUCAGUGAAAUUGAACUCGCUGUGAAGAUGCAGUGUACCCGCGGCAAGACGGAAAGACCCCGUGAACCUUUACUAUAGCUUGACACUGAACAUUGAGCCUUGAUGUGUAGGAUAGGUGGGAGGCUUGGAAGUGUGGACGCCAGUCUGCAUGGAGCCGACCUUGAAAUACCACCCUUUAAUGUUUGAUGUUCUAACGUUGACCCGUAAUCCGGGUUGCGGACAGUGUCUGGUGGGUAGUUUGACUGGGGCGGUCUCCUCCUAAAGAGUAACGGAGGAGCACGAAGGUUGGCUAAUCCUGGUCGGACAUCAGGAGGUUAGUGCAAUGGCAUAAGCCAGCUUGACUGCGAGCGUGACGGCGCGAGCAGGUGCGAAAGCAGGUCAUAGUGAUCCGGUGGUUCUGAAUGGAAGGGCCAUCGCUCAACGGAUAAAAGGUACUCCGGGGAUAACAGGCUGAUACCGCCCAAGAGUUCAUAUCGACGGCGGUGUUUGGCACCUCGAUGUCGGCUCAUCACAUCCUGGGGCUGAAGUAGGUCCCAAGGGUAUGGCUGUUCGCCAUUUAAAGUGGUACGCGAGCUGGGUUUAGAACGUCGUGAGACAGUUCGGUCCCUAUCUGCCGUGGGCGCUGGAGAACUGAGGGGGGCUGCUCCUAGUACGAGAGGACCGGAGUGGACGCAUCACUGGUGUUCGGGUUGUCAUGCCAAUGGCACUGCCCGGUAGCUAAAUGCGGAAGAGAUAAGUGCUGAAAGCAUCUAAGCACGAAACUUGCCCCGAGAUGAGUUCUCCCUGACUCCUUGAGAGUCCUGAAGGAACGUUGAAGACGACGACGUUGAUAGGCCGGAUGUGUAAGCGCAGCGAUGCGUUGAGCUAACCGGUACUAAUGAACCGUGAGGCUUAACCUUACAACGCCGAAGGUGUUU
rnacentral:rRNA from 1 species